ACUCCUACGGGAGGCAGCAGUGGGGAAUAUUGCACAAUGGGCGCAAGCCUGAUGCAGCAACGCCGUGUGAGUGAAGAAGGUUUUCGGAUCGUAAAACUCUGUCCUAAGGGAAGAAACAAAUGACGGUACCUUAGGAGGAAGCCCCGGCUAACUACGUGCCAGCAGCCGCGGUAAUACGUAGGGGCAAGCGUUAUCCGGAAUCACUGGGGCGUAAAGGGUGCGUAGGCGGCUUGACAAGCCAGGGGUGAAAGGCAUUGGCUCAACCAAUGUAAGCCUUUGGAACUGUUAAGCUUGAGUGCAGGAGAGGUAAGUGGAAUUCCUAGUGUAGAGGUGAAAUUCGUAGAUAUUAGGAGGAACACCAGUGGCGAAGGCGACUUACUGGACUGUAACUGACGCUGAUGCACGAAAGCGUGGGUAGCGAACAGGAUUAGAUACCCUGGUAGGAUAGCG
rnacentral:rRNA from 1 species